ACGUAGGGCGCGAGCGUUAUCCGGAAUUAUUGGGCGUAAAGAGCUCGUAGGCGGUUUGUCGCGUCUGCCGUGAAAGUCCGGGGCUUAACUCCGGAUCUGCGGUGGGUACGGGCAGACUAGAGUGCAGUAGGGGAGACUGGAAUUCCUGGUGUAGCGGUGAAAUGCGCAGAUAUCAGGAGGAACACCGAUGGCGAAGGCAGGUCUCUGGGCUGUAACUGACGCUGAGGAGCGAAAGCAUGGGGAGCGAACAG
rnacentral:rRNA from 1 species